GGUAAAUCUCGUGCCAGCCACCGCGGUCAUACGAUUGACCCAAGCUAACAGGAGUACGGCGUAAAGCGUGUUAAAGCAUCAUACUAAAUAGAGUUAAAUUUUAAUUAAACUGUAAAAAGCCAUAAUUAUAACAAAAAUAAAUGACGAAAGUAACCCUACAAUAGCUGAUACACCAUAGCUAAGACCCAAACUGGGAUUAGAUACCCCACUAUGCUUAGCCCUAAACACAAAUAAUUAUAAAAACAAAAUUAUUCGCCAGAGUACUACCGCAACAGCCCGAAACUCAAAGGACUUGGCGGUGCUUUAUACCCUUCUAGAGGAGCCUGUUCUAUAAUCGAUAAACCCCGAUAAACCUCACCAAUCCUUGCUAAUACAGUCUAUAUACCGCCAUCUUCAGCAAACCCUAAAAAAGGGACAAAAGUAAGCUCAAUAAUAACACAUAAAGACGUUAGGUCAAGGUGUAACCUAUGGAGUGGGAAGAAAUGGGCUACAUUUUCUACCCAAGAAAAUUUAAUACGAAAGCCAUUAUGAAAUUAAUAGCCAAAGGAGGAUUUAGCAGUAAACUAAGAAUAGAGUGCUUAGUUGAAUCAGGCCAUGAAGCACGCACACACCGCCCGUCACCCUCCUCAAGUAAAUAUGAUAUACUUAAACCUAUUUACAUAUAUCAACCACACGAGAGGAGACAAGUCGUAACAAGGUAAGCAUACUGGA
rnacentral:rRNA from 1 species